GCGAUGAACCAGGUUGCCGCAGCCUAGAAGGUUCUGUACCGUUUAGGUUGAGGAAAGUCCGGGCUCCGUAGGGCAUGAUGCCGGGUAAUUCCCGGGCGGGAAGAUCCCAAGAUUUUUCCGACAGAAAGCGCAACAGAAAAAAUACCGCUCAAGGGCUGAAGGCUGAGCCUUCAGCCCUCAGUAAGGGUGAAAUGGCGGGGUAAGAGCCCACCGGGGGGCCGGUAACGGUCCCGAGGGUUGUUGGAUUUCCCAACAACUUCUGGCAAGCCUCAUCAGGAGCAAAGUCAAGCAGCGGAAAACGGCCCGUUUUCUUCCGCGGGUAGACUGCAUGGAUGCCGUAUGUAAAUACGGCGCUAGAUAGAUGGCAGCCUGAAUUUUCGCCGUAAGGCGAAAAUUCAGCACAGAACCCGGCUUAUGGUUCAUCGCUUUU
rnacentral:RNase_P_RNA from 1 species